ensembl:lncRNA
GUGGGCCUCUUUUCGAAAUCUCCUCGUUAAUUAGUUUUUUCAGUCGCGUGAGAUUUCCCAUUUUUUAGCCAGUUUGUUGUUAAGCCAACAGAGGAAGCCGCGCUUUUGCUGCUUCCUGCUUCCUACAUGACCAAUAGGAGACCGCGAUGCUGUGACCUCUCACCUGUAGGUCAUAAUCAAGCUGCAGUCAUGGCUUCCUGUGUUAACACGACAAGCCCAGACCGAUCUACCGGUAUGCGAACCCGGGGGAAAAGGGGGAAUAAUAAUGUAGGCAAGAUGGAUGUUCGUGUUACCAGUGGUGUGACUGUUGCCCCAACUGCACAGCUGGCAGACAGAAGAAAAUCACAAGAGUUGGAGAUCUGUAAGAUGAGGCUAGAGUGGCAAAAGGAUAAGAUUGAUGAGCUCACCAAAGAAAGAGACUAUCUAAAGGAGCAAUUAGCAGCAUCUCUCUCAAAGGAACCCACAAGUUCUGUCCAGGAUUCCAGUGAGGUAUUGAGCAUAUCUUCACUGUCCUCUGAUGGGUCUUUUGAUGAGAGUUCUGACUCCUCCAUGAGCACAACUUCAUCAGAUGAAGACAGGAAGAAGAGGAAGAAGGGCAAAGCAAAAAGCACAAGAAGUCAAAGAAACGUGACCAAAACAAAGAAAAAAGAGUCCAGAAUCCUAAGCAAGUGGUCACCCGGUAUAACAAGAUUUUGAGGCUGUUCAAAAGAGGAGGGACCAUGUCUGCUGCCUUUAAACGUCUGGGAGUGGACCGGAACACAAUUGUGGCAACUGCUCCAAUUGCUGAGCUAUUCAUUGUUGCACCUGAGAGGUAUAAAGAAUUAGAAAAAAACACGCAGGGACAGAAACUUUCAUUGUUUGCUACACAGUGUGCUGCAGCAAUCAGUGCAGAUCCAGAAACAGAGGAAAAAUUCAAAGCGUAUAAGUCUUCAGGGAAGUUGCUUCCUCUUAAAACAAAGAAAGAUUAGAUUUUUGUUGUUUGUUUUACAUGGUGAAAUGUGGUGAGAGUCCACCAUUGUUAACAGCUUAAUAAAAUACAAGUUAUGUAUUCUGGUUGAUUGGUCAAUUGUUUGUUAAAAAAAUGACACACUUAAUUUUUGGUUUGUAUGUUUUUUAUUAUUAUUUUACUUUUAUAAAUUCUGUAGUUUUAUUUUAAUGAUCACACAUGUGAUACACUUUAUGUAAAGAGCUACAGGUCAUAUAGUUUGCAUCCAGCCGUGUUCUGUAUUACCUCAAAU